GAUGAACGCUGGCGGCGUGCCUAAUACAUGCAAGUCGAGCGAACGGACGGGAAGCUUGCGUCUCUGAUGUUAGCGGCGGACGGGUGAGUAACACGUGGAUAACCUACCUAUAAGACUGGGAUAACUUCGGGAAACCGGAGCUAAUACCGGAUAAUAUUUUGAACCGCAUGGUUCAAAAGUGAAAGACGGUCUUGCUGUCACUUAUAGAUGGAUCCGCGCUGCAUUAGCUAGUUGGUAAGGUAACGGCUUACCAAGGCAACGAUGCAUAGCCGACCGGAGAGGGGGAUCGGCCACACUGGAACUGAGCCACGGUCCAGACUCCUACGGGAGGCAGCAGUAGGGAAUCUUCCGCAAUGGGCGAAAGCCUGACGGAGCAACGCCGCGUGAGUGAUGAAGGUCUUCGGAUCGUAAAACUCUGUUAUUAGGGAAGAACAUAUGUGUAAGUAACUGUGCACAUCUUGACGGUACCUAAUCAGAAAGCCACGGCUAACUACGUG
rnacentral:rRNA from 1 species